rnacentral:rRNA from 1 species
ACGGGAGGCAGCAGUGGGGAAUAUUGCACAAUGGGGGGAAACCCUGAUGCAGCGACGCCGCGUGAAGGAAGAAGUAUCUCGGUAUGUAAACUUCUAUCAGCAGGGAAGAUAAUGACGGUACCUGACUAAGAAGCCCCGGCUAACUACGUGCCAGCAGCCGCGGUAAUACGUAGGGGGCAAGCGUUAUCCGGAUUUACUGGGUGUAAAGGGAGCGUAGACGGAGUGGCAAGUCUGGUGUGAAAGGCAAGGGCUCAACCUUUGGACUGCACUGGAAACUGUCAAUCUUGAGUGCCGGAGGGGUAAGCGGAAUUCCUAGUGUAGCGGUGAAAUGCGUAGAUAUUAGGAGGAACACCAGUGGCGAAGGCGGCUUACUGGACGGUAACUGACGUUGAGGCUCGAAAGCGUGGGGAGCAAACAGGAUUAGAUACCCUGGUA